UACGUAGGGGGCAAGCGUUGUUCGGAAUUACUUGGCGUAAAGGGCGCGUAGGCGGCACAGCAAGUCGGGAGUGAAAGCCCGGGGCUCAACCCCGGAACUGCUUUCGAAACUGCUGAGCUAGAGUACAGAAGGGGCAACCGGAAUUCCCAGUGUAGCGGUGAAAUGCGUAGAUAUUGGGAAGAACACCUGAGGCGAAGGCGGGUUGCUGGGCUGAUACUGACGCUGAGGCGCGAAAGCCAGGGGAGCAAACGGG
rnacentral:rRNA from 1 species